rnacentral:piRNA from 1 species
UACUUACGCACACACGCACAUGUAUAUGUA